UCAUAGGAUCAAAUCUCAUCGUUUCAAUAAAAUUCCAAUCUUCAAACCUAAUUAUGAUAAUCGUACAACACUAGAUUCAUUUUUGAAAAACUUAAAUCGUCGUCUCAGUUCCUUUUCUUGAAGAUUAUUUCAAAAUCGAUAAAUUUUAGCAGAUCAAAAUUGAAGAUAAUUUCAUCCUUUAGAAGCGAUUUGGAAGAUGACAACAUGUUUUUGUCAUUUAAUUUGAAUUACUCUCACUCCAUCAGAAAAAACAGAAAGAGAAACUCUUUAAACGCUUCUUCUUUUUCAUCAGAUCUGAAGAUCUAGAGAAAUAAUUUUUGUUUUUGUUAAUGGAAAAUGGAGGUCAUAGAAAGAUUGCGAAGCAUGGAUCUAACGCAUCAUGAGAAGAUGCCAUUUGUUCAGCUUAUAUUUCCCGUCGAAUCUGCUCAUAGAGUCGUUUCUUAUCUAUGAGAUAUUGGACUCCUUUCAUUCAAAGAUUGCCUGAUUUUAUAGAGCCUUCCAUUUUGUUUCUAAGCAUGGGGGAGGGAACAAUUUCAAGCGAAUAUACUUCAGGAUUUCUAGUAUUGCUUAGGACAAUUCUGUAGCACAGUUUAAGGCUAGGGAAUCUGACAGUGGUGGAGAAUGCAAGAAGGUUUAGAGGAAGUUUGUUGGAAACUUCUACUAAGGUUGGGUACAACACUGCAACUGGAAGAUAGUAGAAUUUGAUGGAAGCUAGAAUCAUUAACUGUACUAAGGUUGUUUGCUGGGAACUCCAAAUGAAUAUAGGUUUCCAGGGGUAAGCAAGCUAAUGAAUUGAGAUGAAUAUCCACAAUGGUUUCCCCAGAAGCUGUCAUUUGAUCCUAACCUCAAUGAAGCUUUUCAAGGUCUGCUUUUGGCUGUAUGUUCUGAAAGACCAUAGAAUGUCAAGACGUUUGUUUUAAGGAAAAAGAGAGGAAUAUUUUGAGAUGUUGGCCGCCAAGGUAAUGAAGAAGGAAACAUAUACGAACAGGUUAGUCUUACAUAAUGAUCAGAAGAAUUAUAAUGUGUAAGGCUAGUGAUCUUCUUAAAUGCAAUAAUGGAUGCUUUUCUGGUAGUGCAUCGUUUGCAGAGUUUCUGAUUUAGCUUGACAUUGUGUCUUGGAAUUCAGAUUACCAUCAUUCUAUAAGUGUACAUACUGGUGCCCCUGGAAUACAAGUGUACAAAAUGGUGCACCUGUAACAAGAUGAGUGCAGGUUGAUUUCACUGCCAUUCUCAUCCUAGAAACAAGCCUUUUUUGGGGAACUGAGAUGGUGGAUUUCACUGCCAUUCUCAUCCUAGAAACAAGCAUAUUUUAUUUUUAUUUGAGCACACCCAAAAUAAACAUACCUAUCAUUUUUACCAAGCUCUAAAUGGCAAAUAUGCCUAUCUUUGUGAGACAGAUGAGUGCUUAGUUCUAUAAGAGCUUGCGACUAGUAUUAUGAAGGUGCCUUUGUAUGGUGAAAUUGUUAAAAUAUGCUUGGGUUUCUUUUGAAUUUUUUUAUUCUGGGGACUAAUCUGUAUUUGUUAUGAAGAGAGAAGAAAUAUUAUAACUGGUUCGAUAUGCUCAGAUGUAAGAGCUCAUUUGGAACAAAUGCAAACGCGUCGAAUUUUCCCAUGAUUACACUGAGUAAUUCAUUCGAAGGUGGCAGAAGAGUUAGAGCUGCAGUUGUUUGUGGGGAUGAACAUGUUAAAUUAUUAGGUGCAUUUGAGACACUGGAAGCAUAUAUGAUGAUUUUAGUACACACAAGGAUGAGCCUUAUUGGGAUACCCUGACUGGUGGAUUCGCUUGCGUAGAUGAGGCUAAAAUUUGUAUUAGGUGGACCAUUUAAGUUGUGUGUAAUAUACAAUAUUUAAGUUGUGCGUAAUGUACAAGCUGGUGUCUUUGGAUUUUCUGGAUUUUUGUAGAUGUGUACAUGUUUGUACACCAAUGUAAACUAAGUUUUUUUAAAAGUCAGAAUUAUAGUCAUAUGGGUACGUUUUUUGUAGU